rnacentral:tRNA from 1 species
UGUAGCUCAGUGGUUGAGUGCUUGCUUUGCAUGCAUGAGAUCCUGGGUUCAACCCUUAGCA